GACGAACGCUGGCGGCGUGCUUAACACAUGCAAGUCGAACGGAAAGGCCCUGCUUUUGUGGGGUGCUCGAGUGGCGAACGGGUGAGUAACACGUGAGUAACCUGCCCUUGACUUUGGGAUAACUUCAGGAAACUGGGGCUAAUACCGGAUAGGAGCUCCUGCUGCAUGGUGGGGGUUGGAAAGUUUCGGCGGUUGGGGAUGGACUCGCGGCUUAUCAGCUUGUUGGUGGGGUAGUGGCUUACCAAGGAUUUGACGGGUAGCCGGCCUGAGAGGGUGACCGGCCAAAUUGGGGUAAAGAUACGGCCGAAGCCCCCAGGGGGGGCAGGAGGGGGGAAAUAGAGGCAAGGGGGGGAAGCCAGAGGGAAGAAACCCGGGGGGGGAAUGCCGGCCUUGGGGUUGUAAACCCGUUUCGCCUGGAGAGAGGGGUGAGUGAGGUUAAUGGGUAAAAAAGAACGGACAAACAACGU
rnacentral:rRNA from 1 species